UACGGAGGGUGCAAGCGUUAUCCGGAUUCACUGGGUUUAAAGGGUGCGUAGGAGGGCAGGUAAGUCAGUGGUGAAAUCUCCGAGCUUAACUUGGAAACUGCCGUUGAUACUAUGUGUCUUGAAUGUUGUGGAGGUGAGCGGAAUAUGUCAUGUAGCGGUGAAAUGCUUAGAUAUGACAUAGAACACCAAUUGCGAAGGCAGCUCACUACACAAAUAUUGACGCUGAGGCACGAAAGCGUGGGGAUCAAACAGG
rnacentral:rRNA from 1 species